ensembl:miRNA MIR2054 microRNA 2054
CUGUAAUAUAAAUUUAAUUUAUUCUCUAUCAUUAAAAAAUGUAUUACAG